UACGUGGGGGGCAAGCGUUGUCCGGAUUCAUUGGGCGUAAAGGGUGCGUAGGCGGCGCGGUAAGUCGGGUGUGAAAUCUCGGAGCUUAACUCCGAAACUGCAUUCGAUACUGCCGUGCUUGAGGACUGGAGAGGAGACUGGAAUUUACGGUGUAGCGGUGAAAUGCGUAGAUAUCGUAAGGAAGACCAGUGGCGAAGGCGGGUCUCUGGACAGUUCCUGACGCUGAGGCACGAAGGUCAGGGGAGCAAACGGG
rnacentral:rRNA from 1 species